rnacentral:rRNA from 1 species
AUGGCGUCGCACGUCCAAGAAGACGAGAUUACCAUGAGCAGCGAGGAGUUGCUCCAAGCUCAGCUCGAGCUCUACCACCACUGCUUCGUCUACAUCAAGUCCAUGGCGCUCGGCGCGGCCACCGAGCUGCGAAUUGCCGACGCCAUACACCUCAGGGGUGGUGCCACCACCUUGUCUGAUCUUGCCGCCGACACAGGGAUCCACCGGACGAAGGUCUCCCACCUCCAGCGGUUCAUGCGCGUGCUCACCACCUCUGGUGUCUUCUCCGUCGAUGUCCAGGCUAGCGGCGCCACCAUGUACAAGCUCACCAGGGUUUCCCGCCUCCUCGUCGGAGUUGGCGGCGAGAGGUCACGCCGCUGCGACCUGUCCCCUAUUGUGAGCGUGUUGGUCAACCCGGUGCCCGUCACUGCUCUCUUCAGCAUACGCGAGGGGUUCACCGACGGAAAGAGCGCCGCCUCGUCGCUCUUUGAGGUGGCGCAUGGCUGGCAAAAGAUGCAGUUGACAAAUAGUAAAAAUCUUACCAUCCUUCCUAAAUAG